UUAAAAAAAAUUAUUUUUAAUAAAAAAGUUGGUCUGCUACCCUAGCACGAAAACGUCUGCCUAUUGGCAUGCAUUUUAGGUUUUUAUUUUUUUAGCAUAAUUUGUCCUUGCCGGCGGGUCACUUUCAAACAACUUUUUCCAUAGUAAAGCACGGGUACAAUCAGGAUCAGGUCUCCGUCCUACAAACAUGGAGAUGGAAUUAGCAGAUUAACACUAGAUGAAGAAGAAGAAGCAGUUCUUCAAGUACAAACAGAGCAGCGCACACAGGGAGAAGAGGGGAUUUUCAGGUUAGUGGGUUGUUUCUUAAUAGCAAGUGUUUUCAUUAUCCUGCAAUGAAAAGUACUAUGGCAAAUUUAUGGCAUCCGGUUCAGGUUGUCCAGAUUCGGGAUCUGGGAGAUAGAAGAUUCUUGUUCCAAUUUUUUCAUGUUAUGGAUUUGGAGAGAGUAUUAAAUGGAUCACCAUGGACAUUUAAUAAUCACUUACUGCUGCUAUACAAAUUACAACUGGGGGAGGAUCCAUUAAGAGUUUUUUUUUUGCUUUUUUUGUAGUCGUUUGGGUCAUAGUGAUGCUUUUUGUGAAGCAAAAAUGGAAGCAGGUAUGGAAGUUGCUGAUAUGGGGUGGAACUUAUCGUUGAGAGCUCAAUCUAGAAGGGCUUUAGCAAUGAAAAGUAUAUGGCUGCGAGAAGACAAUGAUGAUAAUUUUGGAGUUAAUAGUGCAGACAGACGCAUUCAAAGGAACGACAAAUGGGCUGCGAAACACACGCAAGGAUUUUGGUGACCUAUUGACCCAAUACUGGGACUAAGCCUGAAAGGAAAACCGGCUUAUGUGGGGCAAGAGAGAGUUAAAUCGACGAUUAAUCCAGCUCCUGCUGAUAUGGAGCAUGAUCAGGAAGAUGGAAUUUUAAUUGGGGAGGAAGGGCAAAAGAGAGCUAGAGGGGAGAAUGAGGAUGAGAUCAAUAAUUCAAUGAACAGAAAUAGACGAGUAUUGGAAGGUAAUUAUUUAUUAUCGGUGGCUGCCAAGAGGCAUGCCGACCGGGCGCAAUGAAAAUCUUGAGUUGGAAUGUCCGUGGAUUAGGAAGUCCACGGGCGAUUCGCAGACUUCGGCAUUCACUGAAGAUACAUAAUCCCCAAGUGGUUUUCUUUAUGGAAACUAAGGUGUGUAAAAAUAACAUGGAAAGAAUUUGUCAUAGAUGUGGUUAUAUGAAUGGGAUUGAAGUUGAUCCAAUUAAUACUAGAGGUGGUCUAUGUUUAGCAUGGAGGAAUGAUAUUUGCAUUGAGCUUAGGAGUUUUUCUAAGAGACACAUUGAUGUGGUGGUUGAGGAUAAGGAGGUAAAGGGAAAAUGGAGACUCACUGGAUUCUAUGGAUCUCCCUAUGCUCAAGACAUGAGUGAAUCUUGGAAUGUGUUGAGGAAUUUACACAAUGAUGAUGGGAGGCCUUGGUUCGUUUGUGGAGACUUUAAUGAGAUAAUGUACAGCCAUAAAAAAAAAGGAGGGCUACCUUGUGAUGAACGAAAAAUGGAGAAUUUUCGUAUUGUUUUAGUGGAUUGUGAACUUUUGGAUGUGGGCUUUUCUGGGAAUUGGUUUACGUGGGAAAGAGGAAAUCUGCCCUAAACAAAUAUUCGGGAAUGACUUGAUCGUGGAGUUGUUAAUGAUGUAUGGAUGAGUUUGUUUCCGGAGGUCAUUAUUCAACAUAUGCCUCACUCUUUUUCGGAUCAUUGUCCUCUCUUAAUUACUACUAGGAGGGUUGAAAAGGGGAUAAAUACUAAAGCAUUCAAGUUUGAAGCAUGGUGGAUAAUGGAAGAGUCUUUUAAUAAAGUCAAAAAUUUAUGGGAGUCAUCUUCUAGAAGCCUAUUACAAAAGCUAGAUAUCUUAAAAAAAGUCGAACUCAAUUUGAUAGAAGGAGAAAGGAUAUGCUCACAGUUAGACUAUCAGAACUUGCAGGGGAUGAGAGAGAUGAUAUUAACAUGGCAGAAUUGAUUGAUUGUAAAAUUCAAUUGAACUUUGAGAUUGAGAAGGAUGAACGUUACUGGGAACAGUGAGCUCGGAUAAAUUGGUUGAAAUUUGGGGAUAAGAAUACUGUAUUUUUUCAUAACCAAGCGACGCAGCGUAAAAGAAAAAACGUCAUACACAAACUUAACGAUAAAGGAGGAGGAACAACGGAGAUUAUAAAAGAAAUGGAGGGAAUUGCGCGAUCUUAUUUUCAAAAUUUAUCUUCAACAGAUGGACGAGAAAAUCUUGACCAUUUGUUAUCAAGUAUUGAGAAAUGCAUAUCUGAGGAGGAAAACGAAGAUCUUUUGAGGCCUUAUACGGCAGAGGAGUUUAGAGAGGCGCUUUUUACAAUGGGUCCUACCAAAACACCAGGUGAACAUGGCUUCCCGGCACUAUUUUACCAAAAUUGCUGGCACAUCAUUAGGGAGGACGUCACCAAAUUCUGUUUACAAAUUCUAAAUGAAGGUAUGGAUUUUCAACAAAUUAAUGCGACUCAAAUAAAUUUUAUCCCUAAAAUUGAUAAUCAUACUACUAUGAUGGAUUUCCGUCCUAUCAGUCUGUGCAAUGUGCUUUAUAAAAUUACAGCAAAAACGAUUGCAAAUAGGCAUAGAGGAGUUAUCAAAAAAUGCAUUGAUAGGGCCUAAAGUACGUUUGUACCAGGCAGAUUGAACUCAGACAAUAUUCUACUUGCAUAUGAAAUUCUUCAUACUCUUAAACAAAAGAGAAAUGGGAAAAAAGGUCUUAUGGCAGUCAAGUUGGACAUAAGUAAAGCAUAUGACAGGGUUGAGUGGAAUUUUAUAAAAAAAAUGAUGGCACGAAUGGGGUUUGAUAUGAGAGUGAUCAGAAUUUUGAUGAAAUGUUUGACAACGGUCUCCUACUCAGUAGUUGUAAACGAAUACAUAGGAGAAAGCUUUCAACCAACAAGGGGACUUCGUCAGGUAGAUCCACUUAGCCCGUUUCUUUUUCUCAUUUCUGGGGAAGGGCUGUCAUGUUUAAUGAGAUUAGUAUGCAGGGAAGGACUAGUGAAAAGCGCUAAAGCUAGUAGGAACGGACCACAGGUAUCACAUUUACUGUUUGCUGAUGAUUGUAUCUUAUUUGGUCAAGCAACAAGUAGAGAAGCUAAUUUUUUAAAGGAAAUUUUGGGGGAAUAUAGGAGAUGCUCGGGCCAAUGUGUUAACUUUAAUAAGUCCACUGUCUUUUCUAGCAGUAAUACAAAUGAUGAAGAUAAACGAGAGGUGGUAAACAUUUUGGGGGUGCGUAGUUCAGAAAAUCCGGAGAGGUAUUUGGGGUUACCCAACACAGUUGGAAGAAGGAAAAAAUAAUCUUUUCAGGGCCUAAAAGAUAGAUUUAAGAAACGUAUUGACAAUUGGAGCACCAGGUUUUUGUCUCAGGGCGGGAAAGAAGUGUUUAUUAAAUCAGUCCUUCAAUAUACCAACUUACUUUAUGUCGUGUUUCUUAUUACCCAAGUCUUUAUGUUCAGAAAUGGAAAGCAUUAUAGCUCAAUUUUGGUGGCAAAAGGGGAAUGGAAAACGAGGAAUACAUUAGUGUGCAUGGAAAAAUCUUUGCAUUUUAAAAGAAAAUGGGGGUCUUGGUUUUCGAAACACGAGUCAGUUCAAUAUCGCAUUAUUAGCCAAAUGGGGGUGGCGCCUUAUUAAUUACCUGAAUUCAUUAGUGGCUAGAGUGUUCAAGGCUAAAUACUAUCCAAAUACAGACUUUAACAGCACUCAGUUAGGGAAUAUACCUUUUCUUACCUGGAAGAGUGUGUAGGCUGCUAAGGGAUUGUUAAAUAAUGGACUGUGUUGGAGGGUUGGAAAGGGUGACGGGAUCUCGAUCUGGGAGGAACGUUGGCUACCAGGCAAGGAACCUGAAGAGUGGAAUAGUAGAAACAGAAGUGAAGAGUACAAGUUAGUUUCAGAAUUAAUUGAUCCAAAUACCAGAAUGUGGAAGACAGAUAUUAUCAUGCAAAUCAUGCAAAUUCCUCUUGCGAAAAUUCCUCAUAACGACAUUCAAAUGUGGAAGGGAGAAUCGACCGGAGAAUUCACUGUCAGAAGCGCCUACAAACUAUUACAAGAAGCUAGCAUGGAUCCUAGUUAUUAUUAUUUACAGGCCGACUCAAAGAAUUUGUACAAAAAACUUUGGAAUCUAAGACUACCCUAAAAAAUACUGAUUGCAAUUUAGAGAAUUACAUGGAACUAUAUCCCGAAUUUUGUAAAUCUAAAACAUAAGCGAGUGAUCAAUAGUGCUUUAUUCCCUCGUUGCGGGAAUGGAGAAGAAGACAGUGGGCAUGUCUUUUUGAAUUGCCCUGUUACAGUAGUGAUUUGGAGGAAGUUAGAGGUCUCAUGGGUAGACAGAAUAGUUCAAAAUAUCUGGGAAUGGAUCACCUGGAUCUUUCAAAAUACUGCUAUUCAACAGUGUCGCUUGCUCUGCUGUGGCUUGUGGAUUAUAUGGAGUUCACGAAAUAAGCUUGUACACGAAAGGAAGUUAGAGUCAGAAGAUGAGAUUUUACAGAAUAUUCGAAGAUAUAUGGCUGAGAUUGAAGGAUUAGAAGAAAAGAAACUCACCUCUCCAACGGGGUAUAGAAGCAACACUAUAGAUGUAAACACCAGGGCAACGAUUCAGUUUGACGCUGCACUCGAUAACAGAAACCACAGAUCAGCAUCGGGAUUAGUGGUUUGGCGUCAGACGGGGGAACUCCUUGCAUUUAAGUCAAUGAUCAACUGGAAGGUUUCAUCUCCGUUUGUUGCAGAGGCGUAUGCAGGCUUACAGGCUGUUCAAUUAGGGAUCUCGCUAAAACUUCCCUCAGUAACGGUUAUGGGAUAUUCUCAAACAGUUAUCAAAAAAUGCCAGUCAAAGAACUCGGAUAAAUCAAUCAUCGGUACAAUAAUCAGAGACAUUUAUAGCAGUAUGAACAGGUUUCAAGAAAUAAAAUUCCAGUUUAUUAAAAGAACAGAGAAUGCCUAUGCUCACAACCUGGCAAAGGAGUCUUUGAGAAAGAAUGAGGAAACGUACCAGAGAAGGCCGGAUCUGACUCAACACCAUUCCCAACCGGAGAGAAAAUAGAGGAACAACCCAGAUUGAGAUUUGUUUGGGGUUAAUGAAAUAAAACAGAUAGCUGAAAAUGGUAUAUGGAUAAACUAUUGACAAGCAUAGAGAAGACAGUGAUGUGGAAGGAAAUGGAGUACAGUUGUGUCUUGGGAAUCGGCUAGUUUAAUUUCAACAAGCUUCCUUUUUAUUUGUUUUUCAAUUAAUAGGCAGGUUUUAUUAGAAUUAUUUUAAUUAUUUUUGAAACUAAUGGCUAAAGAAAUAGGCCAAUUAUGGGAUAGGAAGUCUAGAGUGUCAUAGGCCUGAACCAUUAUUAUUAGGUUUUGUAUUUGACUUCUUUAUUUAUUUAAGUCUAG
rnacentral:lncRNA from 1 species